rnacentral:lncRNA from 1 species
GUUGUUUUCAUCAGAGGAGGUAGGAGGGAAAAACAAGCAGCACAGCAAGCAACGCAGGUUCCCAGUACCCACACAGGGAUCAGGAGAGCCCACUAGCCUGCUCCCAGCUUCAACUCCAGCUCUGCAUCCAUCUCCUCCUUCCAGCCUGACAGCCAUCUCUGUAGAAAAUUAAGAGCCUAAAGUUAAGCAGCAAAACUGAAUUAAAAGCAAGUUGUAGACCUGACAUGAAGUUUUAGGAGGCUCAUGGCAGGCUGGAUGGACCCCGUCAUAGACAAUGCUAUGUCGAAGGAAGUAAACUGUGCACGUUGGAUGCUGUCCCAACAGCACACCCACCUUUAUCUUGAAGUCCAGUUCUUUCAUACCAACUCAACAACAUAUCUUGCACGUCUGACAGAAAGCAGUCAAGAAGAAACAGUGUGCACGGUGCUGGAGGACAGAAGGUACAGCUGAGUUCAAGAUGUACAGAAGUCAGGAACUCACAGUAAUACAGUAGAAAUGUUGUUCGUACCCAAUGCUUCCAGUUAUUGCAUCCAGAACUGUUUUCCUUCUGCCAUUUGUGUAAAUAUGCUGUCUGCAUGAGAUUCUGCAAAUAUGCCAAAAUAGCCAGGAGAGUCUGAGGUGAUUUAUGGUUUAUCGUGCCAUAUGGAGCAUGUAUAUGUUUGCAGAAAGGGGAAGAAUGUUUCAAAGAUCACAGAAGGGUGUUUCCUAGGAUGAUUCAGGGCUUGAUGCUGUAUGAAAGGUUUUUGGAAAUUUUCACCCCAUUUUAAAGGUCUCAGCUGCCACUCAAGCUGAAUUAGAUCUGUU